rnacentral:misc_RNA from 1 species
CAAGGAACACGUGCUUGCGUUCGUCGCAUGUCACAGUUUUUCAACCCCACUCCGAGUACUAUUUCCUGUUGCUUCCGCGGGGCGGCGCGCUUCUGCGUGCGACCGCGAAGGGUUGACCCUUUGCCGGGUUUUCCCUGAGCGGGACAGUCUCCGCGGGAGGUACGCAAGCAAACCCUUUGCUUUUUGGUGACCUCUGUCUGACUUUGGUACAUAACAAAUGUUA